rnacentral:rRNA from 1 species
GGGUUGUGAGGUUAAGCGACUAAGCGUACACGGUGGAUGCCCUGGCAGUCAGAGGCGAUGAAGGGCGUGCUAAUCUGCGAUAAGCGCCGGUAAGGUGAUAUGAACCGUUAUAACCGGCGAUACCCGAAUGGGGAAACCCAGUGUGAUUCGUCACACUAUCAUUAACUGAAUCCAUAGGUUAAUGAGGCGAACCGGGGGAACUGAAACAUCUAAGUACCCCGAGGAAAAGAAAUCAACCGAGAUUCCCCCAGUAGCGGCGAGCGAACGGGGAGGAGCCCAGAGCCUGAAUCAGCAUGUGUGUUAGUGGAAGCGUCUGGAAAGGCGCGCGAUACAGGGUGACAGCCCCGUACACAAAAGCGCAUGUGCUGUGAGCUCGAUGAGUAGGGCGGGACACGUGGUAUCCUGUCUGAAUAUGGGGGGACCAUCCUCCAAGGCUAAAUACUCCUGACUGACCGAUAGUGAACCAGUACCGUGAGGGAAAGGCGAAAAGAACCCCGGCGAGGGGAGUGAAAAAGAACCUGAAACCGUGUACGUACAAGCAGUGGGAGCACAGGUUUACCUGUGUGACUGCGUACCUUUUGUAUAAUGGGUCAGCGACUUAUAUUCUGUAGCAAGGUUAACCGAAUAGGGGAGCCGGAGGGAAACCGAGUCUU